UACGUAGGGGGCAAGCGUUGUCCGGAUUUACUGGGCGUAAAGAGCGUGUAGGCGGCCAAACAGGUCCGUUGUGAAAACUGGAGGCUCAACUUCCAGACGUCGACGGAAACCGUGUGGCUAGAGUCCGGAAGAGGAGACUGGAAUUCAUGGUGUAGCAGUGAAAUGCGUAGAGAUCAUGAGGAAGACCAGUGGCGAAGGCGGGUCUCUGGACAGUUCCUGACACUGAGACACGAAGGCCAGGGGAGCAAACGGG
rnacentral:rRNA from 1 species